ensembl:lncRNA novel transcript
CUCCACGGCGCCCAGUCCCAUCGACCACCCAACGGCUGAGGAGUGCGGGCGCACGGCGCGCGACUGGCAGGCAGCUCCACCUGCAGCCCCGGUGCGGGAUCCACUGGGUGAAGCCAGCUGGGCUCCUGAGUCUGCUGAUCUGAUUUAUCUUCCUAUGUAUCUGAUGAAUGGUUUAUCCAGGGACUGGCAAAAGGAGAAAAACAAGAUGCAGAGGAAUGAGACUGAGAGUACCACAGUGUGAACAGUUUCCCCAAAGUGCUUCAUUUUGGCUCCAGAUGAAGAGAUGGGCACCAAGAGUUGAUUGCCCAACUCUACACAGCUAAUAAAUGGCAGAGCUUAAUCUUAAACAACAGAUUUAAGUCCUAAAUCCUGAAUACAGAGUCCAAGUUUUUAGCUGCUA